rnacentral:tRNA from 1 species
UCCCUGGUAGCUCAGGUGAUAAAAGCGUCUGCUUGCAAUGCAGGAGACACAGGUUUGAUCCCUGGGUUGGGAA